CUUCAACACUUCAAAACAGUGUCAGCUUUUUUUGUGCAACAUUUGACUUUUUGUUUAAAACUUCUGUGAUGAAUGCGUUGCUGGUAAAUGUAAAAUGGCGUUGAUAAACUAAAAGAAUAAUAAAGUAAUAAAUAAUGAAAGGCAAUAAUAGUUUAAUAUCAAAUACAUAAAAAGAAGCAGGACCGCAGUUUACUCAAUAAGACUUAAACAUUUGAAUUGUCAUGAAUUGUGUGCAGUUAGGUGGCGUACAAUUGUUCAAAAAGAAAAACGUUUGACGUUUUGAAGUUCUCUUCUCUUUUUUUUUAAACAUAAACUGUCUGGUUGGGUUAAAGAACGCUCAUUAGACCUUAUUACUUUUUACAUUGAAUUUUGUGCUUUGUCCUUCGACACAAACAGAUUUCGUUUGUUAUCCUUGCCAUACAUUCAAGCUUUACAACUCAUCUUGUUGAGACUGGGUCAGAGG